CGCCACAGCCAUAUCACCCCGCAGCCCAAGACCGGUUGCUAACUGAAGCUAAGCAGGGCUGAGCCUGGUCAGUACCUGGAUGGCAAACUAUAUGGGAAUACUCAAGCUCGUUUUCCUGA
rnacentral:rRNA from 1 species